rnacentral:rRNA from 1 species
AUUGAACGCUGGCGGCAGGCCUAACACAUGCAAGUCGAACGAGUGGCGGACGGGUGAGUAAUGUCUGGGAAACUGCCUGAUGGAGGGGGUUAACUACUGGAAACGGUAGCUAAUACCGCAUACCAUCGGAUGUGCCCCGAGGGGAUUAGCUAGUAGGUGGGGUAACGGGUCACCUAGGCGGCGAUCCCUAGCUGGUCUGAGAGGAUGACCGGCCACACUGGAACAGAGACACGGGCCAGACGCCUACGGUAGGCAGCAGUGGGGAAUAUUGCACAAUGGGCGCAAGCCUGAUGCAGCCAUGCCGCGUGUAUGAGGAAGGCCUUCGGGUUGUAAAGUACUUUCAGCGAGGAGGCGUUACUCGCAGAAGAAGCACCGGCUAACUCCGUGCCAGCAGCCGCGGUAAUUC